rnacentral:rRNA from 1 species
AACGAACGCUGGCGGCAUGCCUAACACAUGCAAGACGAACGGAUGCAGCAAUGCAUCAGUGGCAGACGGGUGAGUAACACGUGGGAAUCUACCCAGUAGCCUGGAAUAACCGCGGGAAACUGCGGCUAAUACCGGAUACGCCCCUCGGGGGAAAGGAGCAAUCCACUAUUGGAGGAGCCCGCGUCCGAUUAGCUAGUUGGUGAGGUAACGGCUCACCAAGGCGAUGAUCGGUAGCUGGUUUGAGAGAACGACCAGCCACACUGGGACUGAGACACGGCCCAGACUCCCACGGGAGGCAGCUGUGGGGAAUAUUGGACAAUGGGGGAAACCCUGAUCCAGCAAUGCCGCGUGGGUGAUGAAGGCCUUCGGGUUGUAAAGCCCUUUUGGCGGGGACGAUGAUGACGGUACCCGCAGAAGAAGCCCCGGCUAACUUCGUGCCAGCCGCCGCGGUAAUAC